CCCUAUUAUUAGGGUAUAAAAAAUAAUUAGAGGGAGUAAGUUCCACUGAAAACAAUUCAGGGUGGCGGUUUUCUUUAUUCUCAGAUAAAUGUGUUUUUUAAAAACGAAAUUGCACGAACAUCUUUCCCACUCUAGAAAAUUCAUCCUGUACACCGCCGUCUGAAGGGUCAACUUAAAAAAUUAACCCCUUUUCUAGGGAAAGAAGUAAGUCAGGUUAGGUGCAGACUAUGGGUGUGAAAAAAUGCAUUUCUCUAAAAAGCUCAAAAAGGGGAUUGAAAUAAAACCUUUAAGAAGAAUUUGAUAGUAAGGCUUUUUGAUUAUAAAAAUCUGAAUUUACAACAAGAAAAUGUACACAUCGCCCG
rnacentral:rRNA from 1 species